CGUAAAUGAAAGAGCGCAGAAGAGCCGCGGAGGGGCUCUCGCCGCUUCUCACCCCCAACUGAGCGACAGAGAAGCCCGAGAUAGAGUGCGGCGCCCCAGAGUUGGCGAAGUUUGGUGGAGAUAGCCUGGGCAUUUCGCGGGUUGCCGAUAAGGAAGCUCCGCACUGACAAAAUGCAUUUCAGAGCCUAGUUUGGAAACAAAUGACACGACGGAAGUUUCCGUGACAAAAGCGAAACACGCUCCGGAAACGACGCAGCGGAACCGACGCCUCGUGCAUCGUUCACGUUAAAAAGGUUGAAAUCCAAAUCAACUGCAGCGCGCAGCCGUCGAUCUCCUCUGUUACGUCCUCCCGGUGGCAAGAUCGCGGUCCUUAUCACUUUGGAGCUUGAAAACCUUUACACAAUAAAAGCGGUGUCUCUCGCAAUACCCUGUUGACCGAACCGAUUCUCUCGGUGUUCUCGGGCCGAGCCUGACUCGGUCAGUGAGGCUACAUUCUUUUCCCUGCUCUUUUCUUCGACUGCUCCUCACGUCAACCGCUUUGGAGUCGCCUACUGCAUUUAAAGUUUCCACAAAACCUGUUCACAAGGCCGGAAAUUCCCCCACGUUCGGCGCGUUCGCGCUCUCUUGGAGACGCGUCGUGCCUUGUUCUCCCCCCUCCCUUUUCUCCCGUUCUCGUCUUUUCUUCCUUCCCCCCCUCCCGUCCCUUGUGCUGGGGCGGGUGCUUGGCCCUUCUCGAGGCCGCGGAGGCUGCCGAUUGACGUCCAACGGCGUGCGCGGCGACUACGCGCACAGCCUGUUCCAUUUACUGGGAUUUGUUUCGCGCCUUGCGCCGUGAUUCCUUCGCCGCGAUGAACGACCGGAUUUGCUGCUCCACCGCGAGGGCCAUGGGGCUCUGGCCUAUGGGGACAGUCGCAGUCCCGCCGUAAAGCUUCGGCAAGCUGUCUGUUCCGAUCAACUCCUGCAGGUGCGGCACGUACUCCUCCGGGCCACCCAAAGCCAGGACAGUCAUGCUCGUCGGCGAAAAGCGUUUGAGCGGCUCCACGACAGUCUGGACUAUAGAGGAGGAGUUGAUGAUGACAAAGUGGGAGGUUCUCUCGCCGAGGAGACUCUUCAAGUCGUCGAUGCCGUGCGCAAUCGCGCGCACCGUGCCCAGCCCGCCGUACCACAUGAGGCUGGUCAGGUUCAUCGACCCGCAGUCCAUCACGAUCUUGAUGCGUGCGUCGCGUCGCCCGUCCAGCGUUCCGAAAAACAAGCACCCCAUGUACUUGAUGAAGUCGACGAUCUGGCCACUGGGCACCGCCUUGAUGACGUCCAGGUUCAUUUUGUCCAGCUGCAGAGCAAGGGAACAGGGAGAGACAGGCAGUGCGGGACUGGACGCCAAGACUGGAGACUGCCGUCGCAGGAAAGAAACCGGAAAAGGGACGUUAGGCCGCCUCGCAAACGCGCGUCGAGAAAACGGAGUGUCGCCUCAAAAGAGUCACUCCACGUCCAAAUAUAUCCCCAGCAUACCCGUGCAGAUUCAAACGCGUGCAUAGUUGCGUGAGGAUGCAUAUUCAUUCGCGGAAGUAGGAAAGAAGAUAGGCGAACCGCAGCAUGUUUCCCCGCAUACGGGGACUGCCACGGACACCCGCACGGACGGAGUCGCGGCCAAACAUGCACACACAUCGCGACACACGAUUUCCUAAAGCGUUUGUGUGUCCCCGCGUUCGCCUGUCCCGUGUCGCUCGAGAAAAACUCCUGGGGGCUGAGGAGAGAUUUCCGUAGAAACUUCGUGCGAGAUUCAGAGCAUCACGCUGGAAGAACACCCAGAAAUGAAGACAGGGAACGCAGUGUGCGAGGUGCUGUGAAAGAGCACGCGGAUACCCCAAAACGGAAGGGGUUCGGACCCCCCGCGACGUCUCUCAUCACGCGCGAGAAACAAAGAGCCGAAGAACGCGAGAGAGCGACGGGGGACUUGCGACAGAAGAGCCGCGCCUCAAUGUAUCCGGAGGAAUAGAGAGGCCAUUCUGUGGAUUUUGGCACAUUUCCUGUACACGUGCACCCCUGUCCUGUUAGACUUUUUCCUGUCUGUGACCCUCUUUCCGCGUUCUUUCCUGAAGGCUCGCGGACAAAGGCGGCCCGAAACGAAAAGCUCGCCCGGCGAAAAGCCGCAGUUUACCGCUCGAUUCGCCCAAAGUUCUUGUUGGGACCAAAUGUGCACAGAGAGCGAGAAAAAAGAAUGCGAGAGGCAGAUUGGAGGAGAAAGGUGAGGGACGAGGAGGAAAGAAACCGCAAGCAGAGGCCGGAGAUCGCGGCGAAAAUCCAGGGGGGAAACGAGAGACGUUUUCAAGGGACGACAGGAGUGUAUGAAGAAGCGGUAAAGCGAGAAGAUCAAAGAGGCGCAUCCAACGGGACAUGCGGCGCCUGGGGCACACAUACUUGUGCCGUGCGCGCGCGCGUCAACGGUCUCGCUUACCUGAAUGAAGACGACGUAGCUCCCGUCCUUGUCAGGGAGGUAGAAGGUGAAAGGAACGGCACUGGCGAGUUUCCAGAAGUCGUGCGGCGGAUUCUUCGCGAUCUUGUAGACCUCACGAUUGACCGAACUGAGGUCAGGUCGGGGCGGCAGCGAGUAUCUGAGGUCCCGUUGCAUUUUCGCAGUUCCUCUGGGACCGAAAGCCACGGCCCACGAUUCCGCCGUCGCCUGGCUUGGCUCCACGGUCCCAAAAGCUUCCUGGGCACUUUGUUCUCCAUUUGCCGCGGCCGUCUCCGCGGCGCUCCCCGCGCAUAUCGAGAACACGGCCAGGGCGGUCAAGAGGAGGCGAAGCCUCAGGCGGGGGGUUUGCCUCGUCAUUUUGGAGAGGCAAAGGAGAAAAACGAAAGACUACGAGAGCAGAAGGACCGUCAGCGCCGCUGUCUCAGCGCUGACGCAACACAGACAGCACAAAGCACAAACGCCGGUGUCCGGCGCGUGAGGGGCGAGAAGAUAAAAAAAGGUGUAGGGCGGGGUCUCACGGGCAAACAGGCGAGGAAGACCGCGAAAAAACUGGAACGCGGGAAGCACUUCUCAUGCUCCUCGCUCGUGAGUGCCCGGAUCCUUGCUGGCGUUAACGAAAAAAUGGGGAAAAUCUUGGGGCAGAAACGACUCGCCUCUGAGCGAACUCGCCGCCGGGUCCGCGUCUCCGACCGCCUCUCUCCGUGUCGAUGCCCCAGCAGCGAAAUGGGAGCGCGCGAGAGAGAGUCUCUGGCCGCAUUCCUGCUAUCUUUGAAUCUCGAAGGAGCUGGUGAAGGCUGCUCUCCCGCACUUGAGUCGGUUUUGCACCAGUCGACUAAAAGAUGUCCUUUCUCUCGGCCUGCGAUUAUACGAAAUUCGCCUCAAAACGAACGGGACAACUCGAGAACCAGAGCGCUGCGGAACGGCUCGAGACUAGGGGGGGCUUUUUUGAUUGCACGUACGCCUCGCCCCGCUGUAAGGCUUCCCGGCAUUUUUUAGCCGGCGCUCUUCGCGAGUUCCCAGUUUUUUUUCCUAGGUCUCACAGCGGAAAAUGAAGUGGGGGCGCGAAAGACCAGAGCGUUCCGGCGCUUCCUGCUGGGAAAAACGGAAAACCCCCCCAUUGCACGCUGCUCGGUCUGUCGGCGGGCGCUCCAGCCACAUUUCUCGCCCGAUGUGAAAGGAUUUUGGAGCUACCCCCUUUCUGGGUACGGCGCGUGUGCGUUUCCAUUGCGAACGGUUUUUGUUGGCAGGGUAGAGGUUUCCAGAGGGGAAUAAGGCGUUUCAAGGGGAUUCAGGAGCUAUCUUCUUCUCUGGAUGAGGGAAGAGCCUGAAAAGGGAGCGGGAAAAAAGAGGCCGUCCGCCUCGUGCUCUGCCUGCUCCGCGGCACUAGCACCGAGCCCACAAAGGGCCGCGAAAAACAAAAGUACGCAAAUUUCCCAGCAGCACUGCAAUUCGUCUUUGCUUGUGUAGAGAUUCGGCAGUGUCCUUGCUAAGAAAAAACGCGAAAAGG
rnacentral:lncRNA from 1 species